AGCAGGGUAGAGAAGAGGUAUCUCGCCGGGUUCAUACCCCGGAGAUCGCCGGUUCGAAUCCGGUCCCUGCAACCA
rnacentral:tRNA from 1 species